ACACAUCUAGAGAGAUUUGAAACGUACUCAUCAGGGAACUUCACUUCUGAUGCCACCCAGUUGAACAACACCGACUUUUUUUCUGAAGACAAUCUGAAUAUCGGAACGGGAACUUGUCCAUUGCUUUUUAUAUGUAACUCACUUCUUGAGCAAAUAUCCGGUAAGUCCAACCUUGAUUUGAUGUUGUCUUUUGUUUUCUCUGGGACAUUCAAUAUUGUAUUCAUGAUGUUCUCGAAGAAAUUCUUCUCUAUAUGCAUCACAUCGAGGUUGUGGCGCAGAAAAAGAUCGUUCCAAUAUGGAAACUCCCAAAAUAUACUCUUUUUGUGCCAGUUGUACCGAACACCGUAAAAAUCAGACAUAUUAUCUGGGGACAUGCUAAUUACUAUCACAACGAACUGUUUCGUUAGCUCCAUAAUAAUCGAUUUGCGUUUCAAUUUGUUCUUCAGUUAGAUAUGUAUGAUUUAUAAAGUUUUGGAUUUAAAUCGGUGAAAUAUUGAUAUUGAAUAUAAACAAAAUGAGACUGUUGAAUUUUUUUUUUAAUUAUAGUAUCUUAUCCGACCUUGUAAGUCCGAUCCAAACAAAUCAGCUAACUUUUUGGUGUUUGGUCAACAAUUUGCUAAUUUCUAUAUCAAUCUGAUUUCUUUGUUUUCUUGACAAAAAUUUCUUUGUUUUUGGUCAAACUUAACCAAAUUAUAUAUCAAGAAAAAGAAUAUAUAGCUAUUUUCAAAAGGAAAAAAAAUAUAAAUAGAGGAUACAUGUUCAUUGUUUCUCACAUGCAAAAAAAAAAACAACUAUCUUCGCAACACACAAAUCAAAAUAUUACACAAAACAUGGCUGCAAAAUAUAAUUCAGUGAUUGUAAUAGUCUUUAUGGUGGUGAUGAUGAUAAUGGCGAUGGAAAAAGUUGACGGAGAAACAUCCGCUGAAUGUCGUGACCGUUGCAGUCAAAGUUGUGCCAUGACUGGGGCGCUUCCGGCCAAAUGCCUCCAGAGUUGUUACAGUAGAUGCCAAGGCUUACCAUCUCAUACAAUAGGCAUAGAAGAAAUGAAGUCAUGAAUCAGUGUAGGACUCUUGGAAAUUACAUUCAUAAGAAGCAUGAAUCAAUUGUAACAAUAUUAAAUAAAAAUAAACUUAAAACCAAUUAUCCCU